GACGAACGCUGGCGGCGUGCUUAACACAUGUAAGUCGAACGGAAAGGCCCUGCUUUUGUGGGGUGCUCGAGUGGCGAACGGGUGAGUAACACGUGAGUAACCUGCCCUUGACUUUGGGAUAACUUCAGGAAACUGGGGCUAAUACCGGAUAGGAGCUCCUGCUGCAUGGUGGGGGUUGGAAAGUUUCGGCGGUUGGGGAUGGACUCGCGGCUUAUCAGCUUGUUGGUGGGGUAGUGGCUUACCAAGGCUUUGACGGGUAGCCGGCCUGAGAGGGUGACCGGCGACAUGGGGACUACGAUACGGACCAGAGUGCUACGUGAGGCAGCAGUCGGGAAUAUUGCACAAUGGGCGGACGUCUGAUGCGGCAACGCCGCGGGCGUGAUGACGGCCUGCGGGUUGUAAACCGCUGUCGCCUGUGACGAAGCGUGAGUGACGGUAAUGGGUAAAGAAGCACCGGCUAACUACGUG
rnacentral:rRNA from 1 species